rnacentral:rRNA from 1 species
UACGAAGGGGGCUAGCGUUGCUCGGAAUCACUGGGCGUAAAGGGUGCGUAGGCGGGUCUUUAAGUCAGGGGUGAAAUCCUGGAGCUCAACUCCAGAACUGCCUUUGAUACUGAGGAUCUUGAGUAUGACAGAGGUGAGUGGAACUGCGAGUGUAGAGGUGAAAUUAGUAGAUAUUCGCAAGAACACCAGUGGCGAAGGCGGCUCACUGGGUCAUUACUGACGCUGAGGCACGAAAGCGUGGGGAGCAAACAGG